rnacentral:rRNA from 1 species
AACCUUGCGAAAGUAAGACUAAUGCCCAAUGACAUUUAUAGAAGGCAUCUGAAAUGAAUUAAAGAUUUUAUCGGUGAUGGAUGGGGAUGCGUCUGAUUAGCUCGUUGGCGGGGUAACGGCCCACCAAGGCGACGAUCAGUAGGGGUUCUGAGAGGAAGGUCCCCCACAUUGGAACUGAGACACGGUCCAAACUCCUACGGGAGGCAGCAGUGAGGAAUAUUGGUCAAUGGGCGAGAGCCUGAACCAGCCAAGUAGCGUGCAGGAUGACGGCCCUAUGGGUUGUAAACUGUCUUUUAUAAGGGAAUAAAGUUAGUCUCGUGAGACUUUUUGCAUGUACCUUAUGAAUAAGGACCGGCUAAUUCCGUG